rnacentral:rRNA from 1 species
CCUACGGGAUGCAGCAGUGAGGAAUAUUGGUCAAUGGACGAGAGUCUGAACCAGCCAAGUAGCGUGAAGGAUGACUGCCCUAUGGGUUGUAAACUUCUUUUAUAUGGGAAUAAAAUGUUCCACGUGUGGGAUUUUGUAUGUACCAUAUGAAUAAGGAUCGGCUAACUCCGUGCCAGCAGCCGCGGUAAUACGGAGGAUCCGAGCGCUAUCCGGAUUUAUUGGGUUUAACGGGAGCGUAGGUGGAUUGUUAAGUCAGUUGUGAAAGUUUGCGGCUCAACCGUAAAAUUGCAGUUGAAACUGGCAGUCUUGAGUACAGUAGAGGUGGGCGGAAUUCGUGGUGUAGCGGUGAAAUGCUUAGAUAUCACGAAGAACUCCGAUUGCGAAGGCAGUUCACUGGACUGCAACUGACACUGAGGCUCGAAAGUGUGGGUAUCAAACAGGAUUAGAUACCCGAGUAGUC